UACGUAGGGUGCGAGCGUUAAUCGGAAUUAUUGGGCGUAAAGCGUGCGCAGGCGGUUUUAUAAGACAGAUGUGAAAUCCCCGGGCUUAACCUGGGAACUGCGUUUGUGACUGUAAGACUGGAGUGUGGCAGAGGGGGGUGGAAUUCCACGUGUAGCAGUGAAAUGCGUAGAUAUGUGGAGGAACAUCGAUGGCGAAGGCAGCCCCCUGGGUUAACACUGACGCUCAUGCACGAAAGCGUGGGGAGCAAACAGG
rnacentral:rRNA from 1 species